UACGUAGGGACCGAGCGUUGUCCGGAUUCAUUGGGCGUAAAGAGCUCGUAGGCGGCCACUCAAGUCGAAUGUGAAACCUCGAGGCUCAACCUCGAGCCUGCAUUCGAUACUGGGCGGCUAGAGUCUGGUAGGGGGAUCUGGAAUUCCUGGUGUAGCGGUGGAAUGCGCAGAUAUCAGGAGGAACACCGGUGGCGAGGGCGGGAUCCUGGGCCAGUACUGACGCUGAGGAGCGAAAGCGUGGGGAGCAAACAGG
rnacentral:rRNA from 1 species